CCAGGGCUGCAUGCAUAGUGGAAAAGAGGCCAGAACAAAUGCAUAACAUCAACAAGAAGACAAACCAGAAUAUAAUCGCAAUGGAAAAUGAAGUCAUAUCGUUGAAUGGGGCAGAUAUAUGCAGUAGUAGAUGCAUCCAUAGAUGGAUGUGGGUAAUGGAGUACGAAGAACAGAGCAACAUAGGAUGGUGCGAGUAAAAAUAUUAAAGUGCAGUAAAAUGUGGCAGUAUGUUUGUAGUUCAGUUGUUACCUUACUAAGCCAUUCACAUCAGAGAGAAUUUGGCGUUCAUUAUGGAGCACGUUUAGAUUCUGGAAUGACAACUGUAACGUACGAUGAUGCGGUUCCGCAUCGGAUAUGAAAGGAAAUGUAGACAUUGUGUGCUCACUGCUGAAAUGAUACAGAAAUACAUACAAAGCAAUGGAAUUAGUAUGCGAUUUUUUUCUUUCAAAUUACUGCUAGUGUUGUAAAUAUGUACAUACAUAUGUAUUUAUGUAUGCAUAUUCAAGUUUAUAAUGAAAUGCAAAAAUUAGAAGAAAAUAAACAUAGGCAUAGUCGGACUUGAUCGAAAAGUUU